GUAGACGACUGGGUUGAUAGGCCGGAUCUGGAAGGCGGGUAACCGCUGGAGGUGACCGGUACUAAUAGGCCGAGGGCUUGUCCAUAU
rnacentral:rRNA from 1 species